CCUACGGGUGGCUGCAGUAGGGAAUAUUGGACAAUGGAGGAAACUCUGAUCCAGCCAUGCCGCGUGAUAGAUGAAGGCCCUCUGGGUUGUAAAUAUCUUUUAUCUGGGAAGAAACACUCCUAUUCUUAGGAACUUGACGGUACCAGAGGAAUAAGCACCGGCUAACUCCGUGCCAGCAGCCGCGGUAAUACGGAGGGUGCAAGCGUUAUCGGGAUUCACGGGUGCGUAAGGGUGCGUAUACGGGCUGAUUGAAAGCUCCGGGCUUAACUUGGAAACUGCCAUUGAUACUGUGAGUCUUGAAUAUCGUAGAGGUAAGCGGAAUGUUGCAUGUAGCGGUGAAAUGCUUAGAUAUGUGACAGAACACCAAUUGCGAAGGCAGCUUACUAUGCGAUGAUUGACGCUGAGGCACGAAAGCGUGGGGAGCAAACAGGAUUAGAUACCCCAGUAGUC
rnacentral:rRNA from 1 species